GUCUUCUUAGUUCAAUGGAUAGAACGGGGCCCUCCUAAGGCUCAGAUACAGGUUCGACUCCUGUAGGAGACGCCA
rnacentral:tRNA from 1 species